AUGCUUGGAAGGGGUCCCCAAAAAUUUGGGGGGUCCCUGAUGAGAGGGGGAUCCCAAAAAUUGAGGGGAGGGCCCAGGAUGCUUGUGGGGGGUCCCUGGAGGAUUUUGGGGGUCCCUGGAGGAUUUUGGGGGUCCCAGUGGUUUUUGGGGGUCCCAGUGGUUUUUGGGCUCCCCAUUCAGGAGGUGUCCCGGGGUUUUGGGGGUCUCGAGUUUUGGGGUCCCCAUUUGGGGGUGUCCCAGGGUUGUGGGGUCCCAGCGGUUUUUGGGGUCUCAGGGUUUUUGGGGUCCCCAUUUGGGGUCCCAGUGGUUUUUGGGGUCCCCAUUUGGGGUCCCAGUGGUUUUUGGGGUCCCGGGGUUUUGGGGUCCCCAUUUGGGGUCCCAAGGUUUUGGGGAUCCCAGGGUUUUGGGGUCCCGGUGGUUUUUUGGGUCCUGGUGGUUUUGGGGCGUCCCAAGGUUUUGGGGUCCCCAUUCAGGGGAUGUCCCGGGGUUUUGGGGUGUCCCAGGGAGUUUUGUAGUGUCCCGCGGGUUUUGGGGUCCCGGGGUUUUGGGGUCCCCAUUUGGGAAUGUCCCAGGGUUUUGGGGUCCCGAGGUUUUGGGGUCCCAGUGGUUUCAGGGUGUCCCAGGCUUUUGGGGUCCCCAUUUGGGGGUGUCCUGGGAUUUUGUGGGUUCCAGUGGUUUUGGGGGUUCUGGGGUUUUGGGGGUCCCGGGGUUUUGGGGUCCCAGUGGUUUUUGGGGUCCCAAGGUUUUGAGGUCCCCAUCAGGAGGAGUCAAGGGGUUUUGGGGUCCCCAUUUUGGGGAUCCCAAGAUCUUGGGGAUCCUGGGGUUUUAGGUUGCCAGUGGUUUUGGGGUCCCAGGUGGGUUUUGGGGAUCCUGGGGUUUUGGGGUCCCCAUUCAGGGGGUGUCCCAGCCUUUUGGGGUCCCAGCAGUUUUUGGGGUCCCAAGGUUUUGGGGUCGCAGUGGUUGUUGGGGUCCUGGGUUUUGGGGUCCCAUCCAGCUGGGUUUUGGGAUCCCAGUGGUUUUGGGGUCACAGUGAUUUUGGGGCUCUGGGGUUUUGGGGUCCCAGUGGUUUGGGACCCACCCAGGCGGGUUUUGGGGUCCCACCCAGGUCGUUUUGGGGUUCUGGGGUUUUGGGGUCCCACCCAGGUGGUUUUGGGGGUCCCAGCGGUUUUGGGGUCCCAUCUAGGUGGGUUUUGGGGUUCUGGGGUUUUGGGGUCCCAGCCAGGUGUUUUUGGGGGGGGUCCCACCCAGGCGGGUUUUGGGGUCCCAGCGGUUUUGGGGUCCCACCCAGGUGUUUUUGGGGUCCCAGUGUUUUGGGGGUCCCAGUGUUUUUGGGGUCCCCCCCAGGUGUUUUGGGGUCCCAGUUUCGGGGGCUCAGCAGCGCCCGGCCUUGGCGUCGCCGAUGGCGCCCCAGACGUCGAACACGAACUCGUCGGGGAAGGCGAAGUCGCCGAGCUGAGCGUCCAGAGCCUCGGCCAGAGCGUCGGGGUCACGCGCGUCGCGGCCCAGCUCCACCAUGGUGGCCGCUGUGGGGACAUCGGGGACAUUGGGGACAUCGGGGACAUUGGGGACAUCGGGGACAUUGGGGACAUUGGGGACAUCGGGGACAUUGGGGACAAUGGGGACAUUGGGGACAUCGGGG
ensembl:lncRNA